rnacentral:siRNA from 1 species
GCCGGUUCUGUUGUUGGCAUG